rnacentral:rRNA from 1 species
UACGAAGGGGGCUAGCGUUUGCUCGGAAUGACUGGGGCGUAAAGGGCGCGUAGGCGGCCGGGUCAGUCGGGCCUGUAAGUGCGGGGCUCACCCCGUGAUGGGCUCGGGGACGGCCGGCUGGGGCGCGGUCGAGGGAGACGGAUGCCGGGUGUAGUGGUGAAAUGCGUAGAGAUCCGGCGGAACACCGGUGGUGAGACGGUCUCCUGGGCCGGAGGGCGACGCUG